rnacentral:misc_RNA from 1 species
AAGUCGUAACAAGGUUUCCGUAGGUGAACCUGCGGAAGGAUCAUUAGUGAAUUUAAGGGUCUGGCGCAAGCCUCUCCCAAAAACACAUCCAUAUACACCGUGAACCGUAAGAUGGCCUGGGGCCGCCGCCCCCCAUCUGCCCAUUACCAAACGCAUGUAACAAACGUAGAAAACCAUAACGAAAUAAAACUUUUAACAACGGAUCUCUUGGCUCUC